CAAAAGUUUGGUCCUGACUUUACUAACAGUUUUAACUCAACUUACACAUGCAAGUCUCCGCACUCCUGUGAGGAUGCCCUAGCCUUCCCGUUCCGGGGGCUAGGAGCCGGUAUCAGGCACAACAUACGUUAGCCCACAACACCUUGUUUAGCCACACCCUCAAGGGUUUUCAGCAGUGAUAGACCUUAAGCUAUGAGUGAAAGCUCGACUUAGUUAGAGUUAAGAGGGCCGGUAAAACUCGUGCCAGCUACCGCGGUUAUACGAGAGGCCCAAAUUGUUAGCACAUCGGCGUAAAGCGUGGUUAAGAAAAUAAACUUUUACUAAAGCCGAAUACCUUCAAAGCUGUCAUACGCACAUCGAAGGAAAGAAGACCAACUACGAAAGUGGCUUUAUUACAUCUGAACCCACGAAAGCUAGGAAACAAACUGGGAUUAGAUACCCCACUAUGCCUAGCCCUAAACAUCGACAGCAUCACUACACUCGCUGUCCGCCUGGGGACUACGAGCGUUAGCUUAAAACCCAAAGGACUUGGCGGUGCUUUAUAUCCACUUAGAGGAGCCUGUUCUAGAACCGAUAAUCCCCGUUAAACCUCACCCCUCCUUGUUCCUUCCAGCCUAUAUACCACCGUCGCAAGCUUACUCCUUAAGGACACCACAGUAAGCUCAACCGGCACUGCCCAAAACGUCAGGUCGAGGUGUAGCGUACGGAGGGGGAAGAAAUGGGCUACAUUUCCUAACUCAGGACACACGGAAGAUAGCAUUGAAAAUUGCAUCUGAAGGUGGAUCUAAUAGUAAGCAGAAAAUAGAGAGUCCUGCUGAAACUGGCCCUAAAGCGCGUACAUACCGCCCGUCACUCUCCCCGAGCUAAAAUUUUAACUAACUAAAACCUUUCAACUGCAAAGGGGAGACAAGUCGUAACAUGGUAAGUGUACCGGAAGGUGUACUUGGAACAAU
rnacentral:ncRNA from 1 species